UUUCUGGACGUCGUGGGAAGUUCCGACGUGUCAAGUGCAAGCAACAUGUGGUGUGUUGGCCGUGGUAACAAUCUCCAGAUCGAGAAGCUGUGAUGCACCAGCUAACGGGGUGUCCUGCUCUGUUUCCCUCACAGAGACAAGAGCCUUCCGCUGUGGAGCUGAACAAUGUCCUGCGUGGUCAACAUUAACUGGAGGCAUCCUGGUCGGUGUGGUUAUACUCCUGGGGAUUCUGCUCAUAUUUAUCAUAGUUGGAAUUUUGUGGUGCGUGUGUUGCCGCAAGGAUGAGGUCCGUUACAAGGAAGAAAACAUCCGCCAGAGUGAGUUCCACCAGUACCACAAUGUCAAAUCUGGCUUUCUGAAACCACCGUAUUACAAUCUCGAGAAAUAGACACUUUAUUGGCCUCAUGUGUAGUUGACCUGGUACUCUGCUCUAACGGAACAAGGUUCAAGCAGUAUGACUGAUAUAGAAGUGAAUCUUGUCAACUGUCUCUGUGAUAUUUGUCUGUUUCGAGAAUCUGUCAUCGCUUAUUUAGCAAACUGUUACGCCAUUAUGGUUUGCCAAUUUAUGUUUUAUCUGAAACUUGGACAAAAUAAAUGAAUUCCGGAAUAUCGUCUGAUAUUGUAUAUAUACGAGCUUCGUCUUCUUUUGUACAUUUUAUAUCUAAUUUAUUGAACUACCACGUGUAGUCUAUAUGUGCCAAGUAUUUCGGAAACUUAACACGGUUCUUCUCGUUGGUGGGGAUUACUUAAAGCAAGAUAGUUCCGUCUAAAUAUGAUACGAAAUACUGAUACAGUUUCGUUGAAGAAGAAAUGAUAAUCAUUUGUAGAUGUUUCACGCAAAUUGUUAGAAUAACCUUUACCAUGUAUAUAUUUAGAUACAUAUAUGCCUGGACCUACCGAGUUACUCAUUAUUACUAUUAAAAUGUAUAAUCCAAUUAUUAUUAGUAUCAUUAUUUAUAAUCUAAUUUGGUAACAAUAAUAACAAACAAUAUGAUUUCAAAUUCAUAUAGAUUAUGUUUGACUUCAUGGAUAGGUGAUAUAGAGAUGGAGUAAGAAAUGAUACUGAUAUGGAAGUGAACCUUGUCAAUAUCCUCUGUUAUGCUUUCCCUGCUGGUUCCGGGAUCCGUAUAUUAGAGAAUUGUUAUGUCAUGUAUCUGAUGUUUGGUAAACGAAAACCAAGCGGAUUCCAAAGAAACUAUUUGUGUCAUCGAAAAGUAACAGUGCGUACUACAGAUCAAGAAAUUAGUUCAUGAAAACGUUAAAUGGGUCUUUAUUAAGAUAUUUAUUUUCGAUGUUUAUUUUCUAUAUUUUGGACAUUGUAAGGUUUCCUCGUUAGUCCUACCAAAGAAAACGAUGAGUAUGUCUAUUAUGUUAUACAUUGUUUUUUUGCCGUCAAUAAACUCUGUCUCAAUGUCUUCAGUUUUUCAAUGUAUGUGGAACCUUCUCCGAGUUCCGGCGUGUAAGA